rnacentral:rRNA from 2 species
GUGCUUGCAUCAUGAUUUACAUUUGAGUGAGUGGCGAACUGGUGAGUAACACGUGGGAAACCUGCCCAGAAGCGGGGGAUAACACCUGGAAACAGAUGCUAAUACCGCAUAACAACUUGGACCGCAUGGUCCGAGUUUGAAAGAUGGCUUCGGCUAUCACUUUUGGAUGGUCCCGCGGCGUAUUAGCUAGAUGGUGGGGUAACGGCUCACCAUGGCAAUGAUACGUAGCCGACCUGAGAGGGUAAUCGGCCACAUUGGGACUGAGACACGGCCCAAACUCCUACGGGAGGCAGCAGUAGGGAAUCUUCCACAAUGGACGAAAGUCUGAUGGAGCAACGCCGCGUGAGUGAAGAAGGGUUUCGGCUCGUAAAACUCUGUUGUUAAAGAAGAACAUAUCUGAGAGUAACUGUUCAGGUAUUGACGGUAUUUAACCAGAAAGCCACGGCUAACUACGUGCCAGCAGCCGCGGUAAUACGUAGGUGGCAAGCGUUGUCCGGAUUUAUUGGGCGUAAAGCGAGCGCAGGCGGUUUUUUAAGUCUGAUGUGAAAGCCUUCGGCUCAACCGAAGAAGUGCAUCGGAAACUGGGAAACUUGAGUGCAGAAGAGGACAGUGGAACUCCAUGUGUAGCGGUGAAAUGCGUAGAUAUAUGGAAGAACACCAGUGGCGAAGGCGGCUGUCUGGUCUGUAACUGACGCUGAGGCUCGAAAGUAUGGGUAGCAAACAGGAUUAGAUACCCUGGUAGUCCAUACCGUAAACGAUGAAUGCUAAGUGUUGGAGGGUUUCCGCCCUUCAGUGCUGCAGCUAACGCAUUAAGCAUUCCGCCUGGGGAGUACGGCCGCAAGGCUGAAACUCAAAGGAAUUGACGGGGGCCCGCACAAGCGGUGGAGCAUGUGGUUUAAUUCGAAGCUACGCGAAGAACCUUACCAGGUCUUGACAUACUAUGCAAAUCUAAGAGAUUAGACGUUCCCUUCGGGGACAUGGAUACAGGUGGUGCAUGGUUGUCGUCAGCUCGUGUCGUGAGAUGUUGGGUUAAGUCCCGCAACGAGCGCAACCCUUAUUAUCAGUUGCCAGCAUUAAGUUGGGCACUCUGGUGAGACUGCCGGUGACAAACCGGAGGAAGGUGGGGAUGACGUCAAAUCAUCAUGCCCCUUAUGACCUGGGCUACACACGUGCUACAAUGGAUGGUACAACGAGUUGCGAACUCGCGAGAGUAAGCUAAUCUCUUAAAGCCAUUCUCAGUUCGGAUUGUAGGCUG